UUGAGUUUUGAAGUGGGCUUGAUGCUGGCGUCUUCACGAUGCAUGUGCUCGGCCCCGCUCUCAAAUCCACUCUACACCUGUGCACUUUCAAAGUCUGUGGUCCUCCGUAAUGGGAGUCGCAAGUCUUAAUUGACUUGUUGGGACCGCGCUUUGCCCCUUUAUCACAAACUAUAUGCAUUGUCUUGUAGAAUGUAUAGCCUCAUUGCGGGCGAAACUUAAUA
rnacentral:misc_RNA from 1 species